UGCCCUUCGGUUCAGGAUAGCCCCGGGAAACUGGGAUUAAUACUGGAUACGCCCUUUGGGGGAACGAAUGAUCGGCCCGCGUUAGAUUAGGUAGUUGGUGGGGUAACGGCCUACCAAGCCUACGAUCUAUAGCUGGUUUUAGAGGAUGAUCAGCCACACUGGGACUGAGACACGGCCCAGACUCCUACGGGAGGCAGCAGUGGGGAAUCUUAGACAAUGGGCGCAAGCCUGAUCUAGCCAUGCCGCGUGUGUGAUGAAGGCCUUAGGGUCGUAAAUGACUUUCGCCGGGGAAGAUAAUGACGGUACCCGGUAAAGAAACCCCGGCUAACUCCGUGCCAGCAGCCGCGGUAAUACGGAGGGGGUUAGCGUUGUUCGGAAUUACUGGGCGUAAAGCGCGCGUAGGCGGACUGGAAAGUUGGGGGUGAAAUCCCAGGGCUCAUCCCUGGAACUGCCUCCAAAACUAUCAGUCUGGAGUUCUAGAGAGGUGAGUGGAAUUCCGAGUGUAGAGGUGAGAUUCGUAGAUAUUCGGAGGAACACCAGUGACGAACGCGGCUCACUGGCUCGAUACUGACGCUGAUGUGCGAAAGUGUGUGGAGCAGACUGGAUUAGAUACCCUGGUAGUCCCC
rnacentral:rRNA from 1 species